CAAGAUAGACGCACAAUCCCAAUGGAAAAUAUGCGUUCCGACAAUGAAAAGAAGGUCGAUUAUCGAACAACACCAUAAUGGACAAGCAAAAACGAAAUACCUAAGCACGACAAAAAUCUUAAAAAGUAUUGCCGAAACAUAUUACUGGCCCGGGAUGUACAAAGAUGUUCUUCAUCAUAUGAAAAAGUACAAAGAACGACUAAAAUCAUCAUCAUCAAACUCGCCGCAACCAAAUUCCACCGAACCGAAGCAAUAAGUUACCUACCGACGACGUCAUCACCCAUCGCCAGAUGUGCCUAGCCGCGGUACUCAUGCGAUGCCGAACGAACCGAUUAUUCCAAACCUACCCUCAGUCAUCAAUAAUGAAGAUCGAAGAUAAAUAGCCGUAAAAAGUUAAAACAUUUAUAUAUUUAUGACCUAGUCAUUCCGUACCGUACCGUAUAAAUCUUAUUAACUGUGUAUAAUUAGUAAUUUAAUUAAUUAUAGAUGUACAACCGAAAAACCACAAUCUGUAUUAAAAAUAUAGAAAUAGGUAAAAAUGUAAACGCAAAUGCACACAUUUAAUACCGUCCGUCCGUAGUAUAAUAUAAUAUAAGUAAAUAAUAGACACACAGAUAUGUUAAACGUAUAACAACCACCUUUUUACAUCCAAGUCACAGGUAAAAAUUUUGCUCAGACUUAGAAUAAGGAUUGUAACAUUUUUGAACGCAGCCCAAUACGUUACUCUGUGAACGUACAUAGGUUAGAAUUUUGGUUGUUAAUUCAUUGUCAAGUGUCAAACCGAGUAAAUUUCAGCAGCGCAAGGGCACAUGCGCCGGAUAAAUUUUAACUUUUAAUUUAUCUGCAUUGUAAAGAAUUCAGUAAAUUGCAUCCGUAAAUAACCGAAACUAUAUUAUAUAAGAAGUUAAAUGUAUACCGAGUACACAAUAAGUUGUACAUAACCUCACAAUGUAAAAAUUCUACCGUUGAGGGGGGAGAAUGUAACGAAGUCGUUACAACAACGGCCACACACCUACCCGCAUCUCCGAGCCAACAACAAGAACGCCGCGGGGUGGGGCACCGCACAGACCACUCCGGGUGACCAGAGGGGAAGCGGGACGGCACGGCCGCCGCACCUAUAAAGCACCGCAAGACCGCCGCUCCGACACCAUUCGUCAACUCCAGCUCCGGCGUCUGAUCAGCUCCCAUCCCGUGCUUCCUUCCCACUCACCCUUAUUGUAUUUAUGUAUCUAUAGCCUGCGUCGCGACGAUCUAGUCUCGAUAGGCGCAGCUUGGUUACCCCCUCGUUGUGACUGAGGCUUCGAGCGCGGCGCGGCUGCAAUUAUUAGCCCGAGAUCCUGUACCCUUUAUCCUUUCCUACUAUUUGCUAUAAAUCCGCGUUUGCCCCUUCAGGGCCCUGUUUAAAUAGUUAGAUACUUAAUAGAUAUCCUUAUUUGUGCAUUUGUGUGGUGAAUAUAUAGUUACAAGCUGUAAGUACUAGACAUAUAAGUUAUUAUUGUAAAUAAAGCGGAGCCAGUCCCGCCUAAUUGUUGUGUAUUGUAA